rnacentral:lncRNA from 1 species
AUGGCUCUGCCACAGAUAGGAGCUGGCUUGCACACCGGUGACUCAGAAGGCAAAGCAGGGUUGCAUCCAUCUUCCCUGCUCUGGCGUGCUGCGGUGCUGCCGUGUGCUGUUUUAGGAACUGGGACCGCUGCGUCGCUCCAGAGGAGACAGCACGAGGCCCAAACAGGAAGGGGGUUGCCAGAAGAAGCCCCAUGGAGACGCGGCAUCUGUUCCAUCUUUCUCUUUUUGCUCUUGUUUGAAUCCUUCAGCUGAAGCACUUGGGCAGUGAGAUGCAGAAUUCGGCUCGGUCUGUUCUAUUUUCUGCAAAGUCUCAACCUAACAUCACAUCCUGUGGCACUUCAGGCAGCGUGCAUGUUUUGUAGACUUUGCUUAACACCAGGCUGUAGUCAGAAAUUAUAGACAUUUUAAAGUAAUAUAGGUAGUAGAAAGGCAGUAUUUUAAUAUAUUAUUUAAUGCAUUAAAAAUACUUAGAAUUCCUUGAGAAACACAGCUGUCUGAGAUGCUGCAGUCGCGUUGGGCAGCAGCAAGCUCAUUUUUCCCUCAGUCUCUGGCCUCACCUUCUCAACAGCAGCCUGUUCCCUUCCCACUAUAUGUUUCUCCAUAUUGUUCCUUACUUCCCUUUUUAAAAUAAUAUCAGAAUUCUUAUCCUAGUCAUAUGCUUGUUAUAAACUUCAUUCUCCCUAGGAGAAGAUUGAGCUAAUAAUAUGACAAAACAAUAUUUGAUAAAUACCAAUUAGUAAGACCCAUCAGUGGGCACAGAAGGACAUAAAACAGCAGCCUGUGCUCCUUGCCCUCCAUUUUAUUUAUUUGGCUAUGUGUACAGCAGGUGUCCUCUCCUGUGCUAUUAAGAGGUUUGGCAUCCUCCAAACACAUUUGCAAGAGCCCUGGACGUUUCCACAGUUUAUGCUUACGCACUUUGGUGGGCUUUAUCCUGCUAGGAGAGGCUCCAGGAGAAGUUGGGGAAAAAAUAAGGAAGGUCCUCAGGAGUAGAGUAAAUGCACAGCUGUAUGUCAGCUACUCCCCAGCCUAUUAAUUCAGUCAUGCCAUGUCUAUACAAGAGAGUUACUUCAGUUUCCUUUGCAUUUGGAUUGUUCCACCGAGAUCUGUGAGCUUGUGCUAUGGCUGAGCAAGAAUGGUUUGAUUUUUUGGGGAAUAUUAA